UGCUCUUAUUAUAUAUACUCUUAACUUCAUCUCUUUUUUUAAAGGCACCUAUAUACAUAGAUAGUUAAUAGGUUUAUUAUUACUGUUAGAGAAAGUUUGAAAUAACCAUAUUACAAAUUACUGACUGAAAACUGUACUUAUUGGAAACCCAGACUGUGUAUUGGUGGUAUUGUAACACAAUGAUGCAAUUAGUUUAAUACGUCAUGAAGAUUUCUGUGAAAGUGAAACAACAGAAAGUGCUCAAUGUAAACACAUAUCAGAUGUGCGCCAUCAGGGAGGUGGCUGCAGGUCUGCAUUAAAGCACUGUGUAAAGUCCCAUCUCUUCAUUUCAUUUAUCAGCUUGUAUUUGCAUCACAGUGAUGGCAGCAGCAGUUUUGGACAGAAGCAGAGGGGUGGCUGUUUUCAGCAUCAACAAAGGCCUGUUCCUCAUGUCCACCCUGCUGUGUCUGAUUUGCCUUUCAACUUCACUGAUAAACAAGAACCAACUGUUCCAGGAAGUGCUCAAGGAAAGUUACAAGGAAGCACAACAGGAAAUGGAUGAACUGAUGGAGUGCAAGUCAGACAUGCUGAAAGCUUCAGAGCUGGUAGAUGAAUAUCUGGCUCUCAUGGACCCAAUGAUAGCAGUGAUCAAGAAAAUCGACACACUGGUUGGUGAAACAGAUCCUGACACAGAUAUGGAGGACCUUAAGGUUUCCAUAGAAGAAACCAAAGCUGAACUAGACAGCACAAAUGAAGAGCUUGAUGAGGAAAUUGCAUCCAUGGAAAAGAAACUGAGAACAAUAAAGACAUUGAUUGAAAACGUUGGGGAGCAGCACACUGAACUGUAAAUACAUAAGUAUUUAUUUACAAGUGCUGCAUCCCUUUAAUUUGCACUAAAAUAGUCUCUGAAAAUACUUGUUUUACCUGUUUGAAAACAAUGUCAAUGCAAAAUAAUACAGAAU
rnacentral:lncRNA from 1 species